UACGUAGGGGGCAAGCGUUGUCCGGAUUUAUUGGGCGUAAAGAGCGUGUAGGCGGCCUGAAAGGUCAGCUGUGAAAACUCGAGGCUCAACCUCGAGACGUCGGUUGAAACCAUCUGGCUAGAGUCCGGAAGAGGAGUGUGGAAUUCCUGGUGUAGCGGUGAAAUGCGCAGAUAUCAGGAGGAACACCGGUGGCGAAGGCGGGACUCUGGGCCGAUACUGACGCUGAGGAGCGAAAGCGUGGGGAGCAAACAGG
rnacentral:rRNA from 1 species